CGACCGCUGAAUCUGUUCUUCCAGUUUCGUUGAAUUUCUGCUGCCAAUUUUUAAUUCUAAACUCGGCUUUCAAGAUAAGAAAGGAAGUUUCCGUUCCAUUAUUUCAAGAGCACAGUUAUUGCACCAAAAUAUUCACCAGGAACGAAUAAGGACCCCAGGACCUGAUUGAUCUUUUAUUGACAAGAGAAGGAUGAACAGUAAGGCCGAACCCUGCAGAGUUUCAACUCAGAAGAGAAAGGGUUACAAC